CAUGCUUCUACCAGCAAUGCAAAUCAGAGGCGACCUGGGCUAAUGCUUGUUCACUGUCCAUACUGCUCACCAGGCUGUACACACCAUGAUAGCAAGGUCUGAGAUCCCGAUGGUCACCCAGACUCUUAAUCAGCUCCAUGUUAUCAUUCACAACACAAUGACUGGUUUCAUGUGUUUGGUGGCUCUCAGUCAGAUUUUAUUUUUUAUUCUUUUGGAGAGGGAGUGUCUCAUGUAGUAGCCCAGGCUGGCCUGGAACUCAUCUGCAGUGGAAGAUAGCCUUGGACUGCUGAUCCUCCCACCUCUACCUCCCUGGUGCCAGAAUUGCAUGCUUGGUUAUGUGGUGCUGGGAACCAAACCCAGAGCUUCACAUGCGGGAGGUGGACUCUCACUUCCACAAGCCGCGUUACUAUCUUGUCACGUGUGUCCUCGCUCAUAUGAAAGUUCUCAAGAGUUCAUCUAUGAUCUCAACACUCAACUCAAGAGGUAGGGCCAGGAAGACUGAGUUACAGCGAGCCUGGGCCUGUCGGGAGAAAUAAGAGCGGUGGGUGACAGACAUGCACACGGAUUCUGACACCCUGAAGCUGAGCCAAGCAUCCUCAUUCUCGGGCACGAGAACAGAGCCAGGGCAGAAUUCCAUCUUCCCCAGCAGCUCAGUCUGCAGAGUGAAGAACUUGAAGAUUCAAGGUGACAGCAGACUGUUCCGUUUCAAGGGUGGCAGAGAGUUGGCAACUCGGUGCAGCUCUGCGCAAGCCGUCCCAGCUGGGUGACAUCAGACGAAAGUCUUUGCGCCUCUGUGCCUCGGGUUCCUCAUCCUUAAAGUGAAGAUACCAGUACGAGCUAUCCCAGGGCUGGCUAAGUCUUCUGUGGGUCCACGCUGUGAAGCCCUGAGCCCGGAGUAUCGGUGCGCUGAGUGGGCCCAUCAUGUGACUACAUUUCCGUGAA